rnacentral:rRNA from 1 species
AUUGAACGCUGGCGGCAGGCCUAACACAUGCAAGUCGAGCGAGCUGCGGACGGGUGGGUAAUGUAUGGGGACUGCCCGAUAGAGGGGGAUAACUACUGGAAAAGGUAGCUAAUUCCGCAUACUAUCGGAUAACCCAUAUGGGAUUAGCUAGUUGGUGAGGUAAUGGCUAACCAAGGCGACGAUCCCUAGCUGGCCUGAGAGGAUGAUCAGCCACACUGGGACUGAGACACGGCCCAGAAUCCUACGGAGGCAGCAGUGGGGAAUAUUGCACAAUGGGCGCAAGCCUGAUGCAGCCAUGCCGCGUGUAUGAAGAAGGCCCUAGGGUUGUAAAGUCCUUUCAGUCGGGAGGCGGUACCGACAGAAGAAGCAACGGCUAACUCCGUGCCAGCAGCCGCGGUAAUUC